GGAGCCAGUCUUCCCAAGGUGAAAUCCUAACUUUGCCACUUACUAGCCAUGUGAACUUGGGCAAGUGACCUAAUCCUCUGCAUUUCAUCUCUAAAUUGGGGAGAAUAGAAGCAUCUACUUCAUGUAGUAGCCAGGAUUAGAAGAGGGAGGAAUAACUGGGCCCUGGAUAGAAUGUGAUGAAUGUAUAUUCUUAAUGAGAAGUGGAAAUAAUUUGUGGUUGAGAGCUGUGCCUCAGAUCAGAGUGACAGGAUACAUGGCUAGGCUAUAUUUUCCAGCAGAUUAAGAGCUGCGGCCCAAGACUCUGAAAUAUGAAGAAAAAAGGAGAAGAUGACAGCAUAUCUUUUUAAAGAAAUAUUUUCCAGCCAAAUGGUGUAGCAGAGGACUUCCAGGAAUUUGUUCUUGUUCUGUAUCAAAGGUGAAGAGUUCGUAGCCUUCAAGGAAACAAGAAACCAUGGGAUGGAGUGAAGGAAGGUGGCCUGGAACCAGCUGCUGAGCCUCUCUGAGCCCCAGUUUCCUCGUCUCUAAAAUGGGGCUGAUCUCCUCUCCCUCAGACUGUUGUUGCAGGAAUUAAAACAGGUGUUGAGUGGGAAAGCAUCAGUCCCAUAGCAAAUGGCCCCUGAGUAGUAGGAUCUGAGUUCUGGUUCUGGUCCUGCUGGGGUAUGGCUGGUUGAGAGGUCAAAGAGGUAAUUAAAGGGAUUGCCAGCUUCAUUAUUGGGAGCUGAGAUUCCAUUUUAGACCAAGAGUGUGACCAAGGUGGUAACCUUAACAUUUCAUUUCUUCAUAUUUAUUUAUUGAGCCGAUAUUUUUCAAG
rnacentral:lncRNA from 1 species